UGAUGUUUGUUUUAUAUAGAUAUUAUAAUAUAGAUCUUUUUUUUUUUAAUAUGGUGAUCUACAGGUUCUGUUGGAGCACAACAAUGGGCCAGUUUCUGGGUGUUAACUGUGUGUCUUGUGAGAAGAUGAAGCAAUUAUUAUGACCCAAGUUUUGAAGAACCCCUAGGAGAAGCAGUUGAUGAGUUGAUAAGUGUGUUGCUGUUUGCUGAUAGAAAACUAUUGAGCUACUUCACCACUAAGGACAAGUUUGUGAUUGUAACCUUUGAGUAAUGCCUGAAGUCCAGUUCAGCUGUAGAUUAUGUAGUCAAAUUAUUUUUUU
rnacentral:sRNA from 1 species